ensembl:lncRNA
UUGUUCCAGAGUCCCAGAUAGAAGAGUGGCACCACAUUCAAGGCACCAUAUUCAGGGCGGUGAUGUCUUGCUAGCCCAUAUGUGAUGAUGUUACUGACAUAUUCACUUCGUUUCAGGGGCCAAUGGCCUUUGAGGAGAGAGAUCCUGGUGAUCUGAAACUGCGUAUCGUGGAUUUGCUGCUUGGCCAUCCACAGGGGGUCAACUUUGGAGACUUUUCUGGGGCUUUUUACCAGCUGCAUGGCUUCCACCCGCACAUCUACCUUUAUGGGUACAGUUCACUGCGGCAGUUGAUAGCUGACAUGAAAGACCUUGUGGUUGUGGAAUGUGGUUCACAGACACCAGUCAUGAAGUUAGUAAAUGGCUUAAAUCUUGACCGCUGGCUGGAAGGAGAGGAGAAUGGCCUGCAGAACCCACAAGAGGAAUCUCAGUGCUUGAUAAAUGGGGAGCAAGCAGAACAACUGUCAGUAGGUCUGGCUGACGUCUUGGCGGCCCUCUCCAACCUCCUAACUAACUACACAUCGGGCUUGAGGAUUACAAAGCUGCAGGAAUUCCUGCUGGCCAGGGAUGGCGUUGAUCUGGAGAAAUUCAGCAUUGGCCAAGGUUACAAGGACACGCUGGAGUUCUUGGAGACCCAGAUGCCGGAACUAAACAUCAAUUACCGGGAAGACCGAUCAAAUAGUGUUGUUAAGCUUCCUGCAGGAACCUCCAUCCCUGCUCAUGGUCCUGGAUUUUCUGAAUGCAACAGAGAUGUUGUGACACAGAAGCCAAUGGCAAAAAGUCCUGAUGCUUCUGCUUCUUCUGAUAUUCAGAACUCUGUGGAAGAACCACCAAGCCAGGCACCAGUUUUGUCUGACGUAGUGGAAAAAGUCACCAACCUCCUGGCCAAAUACAAGUUUGGCUUAAAGAUUAAGAAGCUUCAAGAAUUCCUGCUGGCUGGAGAUGGAAUUGAUCUGAAGAAAUUCAGCAUUAGCCAAGGUUACACGGACACACUGGAGUUUUUGGAGGCCCAGAUGCAGGAGCUAAUCAUCCAGUACCAGGAGGACCGGCUCAGUUGUGUUGUACAGCUUCUUGCAGAUAUUACGGCAGCAGUCACCAACCUCCUGGAUAAAUACGAAUUGGGCUUAAAGAUUAGGAAGGUCAAAAAACUCCUGCGGACUAGGGAUGGAAUAGAUCUGCAGAAAAUCAGCAUCAGCCAAGGUUACACGGACACACUGGAGUUCUUGGAGGCCAAGAUGCCGGAGCUAAACAUCCAGUACCAGGGGAAACGGCUCAAUUGUGUUGUACAGCUUCCUGCAGUAGAUCCGGUAGAUCCGGUAGAUCUGUCUGACAUCGUGACGGCAGUCACCAACCUCCUUGUCAAAUACAAGUCGGGCUUAAAGAUUAAGAAGAUCCAGGAAUUCCUGCUGGCUGAGGAUGGAAUUGAUCUGGAGAAAAUCAGCAUUAGCCGUGGCUAUAAAACCAUGUGGAAGUUCUUGAAGGCUCAGAUGCCGGAUCUUAUCCUCCAGCACCAGGGGAGCCUGCUCAAAUGUAUUGUACAGCUUCCUGCAGAUAGCUCUGUAACUUCUGCCACUUCCAGUAUCCAGAACUGUGUGGAAGGACCCACAGGCCGGCCACCAGGUAAGACAAUGUAAUCCUCUGAAUCAUGCUGCUCAUUUAUGACAUUCACAAAAGUCAUUGAGUGGCAUUCCUCACUUCCAGUCUGCAGAGCGGAGACUGAUCAGUUUUAAAUGCCAUUUGAAAACACGGCUAGAUAGGAAUGCAUGUCUUACUUUGCAUCUUUGAGUUUUUAUUAUCAUUUGUGGCCUAGAAGGCUAUCAUAUUAAGGAGUAAAUAACAUUAAAAAUCGUUUGGCAGGUAACUAAAUAAUUGGGGCUGGUUACAGAGAGGAGCCCCUUCAUUGAUUGCUGCCUUGUCAUGGCGAAGGGGCUUGAGUAAUUCAGAGAAGCUAUGGGCUAUGCCGUGCAGGAACGCCCAAGACAGACGGGUGAUAGUGGAGAGUUUGGACUGAACGCGAUCCAUCUGGAGCAGGAAUUGGCAAGCCACUGCCAAGAAAACCCCAUGAACAGAAACAAAAAGGCUAAAAGAUAUGAUGCUGGAAGAUGAGCCCCUCAAGCCGGAAGGCGUCCAGCAUGCUACUGAGGAAGAGCGGAGGACAAGUACAAGUAGCUCCAGAGCUAAUGAAGUGGUUGGGCCAAAGCUGAAAGGACGCUCAGCUGUGGACGCGCCUGGAAGUGAAAGGAAAAUCCGAUGCUGCAAAAGAAAAUACGGCAUAGGAACCUGGAAUGUAAGAUCUAUGAACCUUGGUAAGCUGAAUGUGGUCAAACAGGAGAUGGCAAGAAUAAACCUUGAUGUCCUUGGCA